CGCUGAACUUAAGCAUAUCAAUAAGCGGAGGAAAAGAAACUAACAGGGAUUCCCCUAGUAACGGCGAGUGAAGCGGGAUGAGCUCAAGCUUAAAAUCUCUGUGCAAGUUUUGCAUGGCGAAUUGUAGUCUAUGGAGGCGAUGUCAGUGCGACUGCGUGGGUUAAGUUCCUUGGAAGAGGACAGCAUCGAGGGUGAUACUCCCGUAUGUACCUGUGUAGUUGCGCGUACGACACGUUUUCUUUGAGUCGCGUUGUUUGGGAAUGCAGCGCAAAGUAGGUGGUAAAUUCCAUCUAAAGCUAAAUAUUGGUGCGAGACCGAUAGCGAACAAGUACCGUGAGGGAAAGAUGAAAAGAACUUUGAAAAGAGAGUUAAAGAGUACCUGAAACUGCUGAAAGGGAAUCGAAUCGUUUCCAGUGUCUAUAAUCCGUGACAUAUUUCAUUGGCGCGUGGGUGCGUGCAGUAUUUUGGAAGGGGUUUCCUCUCCUGGUGSUGUUGUGCGUCUGCUUGCUGGUGCCCUGUGUUGCGGUGGGACGUCAGAGUCAGUUCGUAUGCUGCGGGAAAUGGCUGUUAGGAAGGUAGGCUGCUUCGGCGGCUGUUAUAUCCUGGCGUGCUAGUCGUCGUGGUUGGGACUGAGGUGCCUACAACGUGCUUUUGAGUCUUUGGGACUCUCGUUUGGUCAUUUGCUUUGACAGCUUGCUGUGUUGGUGAAUGUAUCGAGCGAUUGAGAUCUAUCGUAACUUAUUGCCGUUCGGGACUUUGACGAAAUGGAGCGAUCCGUCCCGUCUUGAAACACGGACCAAGGAGUCUAACAUGUGUGCAAGUGUUAGGGUGUGGAAACCCCAGCGCGAAAUGAAAGUAAAGGGCAGCCUAGCUGCCUGAGGUAGGAAACCUUUGUUUACAGGGGUGGCACUAUCGACCGAUCAUGAGCCUACGUGGCGAAAGAUUUGAGUUUGAGCACAUAUGUUGGUACCCGAAAGAUGGUGAACUAUGCCUGAGUAGGGUGAAGCCAGGGGAAACUCUGGUGGAGGCUCGUAGCGAUUCUGACGUGCAAAUCGAUCGUCAAACUUGGGUAUAGGGGCGAAAGACUAAUCGAACCAUCUAGUAGCUGGUUCCCUCCGAAAUUUCCCUCAGGAUAGCAGCAACUUAUUUACGAUAGUUUUAUGAGGUAAAGCGAAUGAUUAGAGGAUUCUGGGAAGAAACUUUCUGGACCUAUUCUCAAACUUUAAAUCUGUAAGACCUGCAGGUUUCUUAAUUGAACUUGUGGAUGUGAAUAUCAAGUUGUUAGUGGGCCAUACCGGGUAAGCUGGUCUGGCG
rnacentral:rRNA from 1 species